rnacentral:rRNA from 1 species
UACGUAGGGUCCGAGCGUUGUCCGGAAUUAUUGGGCGUAAAGGGCUCGUAGGCGGUUUGUCGCGUCGGGAGUGAAAAUCCAGGGCUUAACUCUGGACUGGCUUCCGAUACGGGCAGACUAGAGGUAUGCAGGGGAGAACGGAAUUCCUGGUGUAGCGGUGAAAUGCGCAGAUAUCAGGAGGAACACCGGUGGCGAAGGCGGUUCUCUGGGCAUUACCUGACGCUGAGGAGCGAAAGCGUGGGGAGCGAACAGG